rnacentral:rRNA from 1 species
GACAGUGCUGCAUGGCUGUCGUCAGCUCGUGUCGUGAGAUGUUCGGUUAAGUCCGCUAACGAGCGCAACCCUCGCUGUGUGUUAUAUGUGUCACACGGGACUGCCGGUCUUAAGCCGGAGGAAGGUGGGGAUGAUGUCAAGUCAGCAUGGCCUUUAUAUCCUGGGCUACACACACGCUACAAUGGCCAACACAAUAGGUUGCUAAGCCGCGAGGUGGCGCCAAUCCAUAAAGUUGGUCUCAGUUCAGAUUGUAGGCUGCAACCCGCCUGCAUGAAGAUGGAGUUGCUAGUAACCGCAGGUCAGCUAUACUGCGGUGAAUACGUUCCCGGGGCUU